UACGUAGGGUGCGAGCGUUGUCCGGAAUUAUUGGGCGUAAAGAGCUUGUAGGCGGUUUGUCGCGUCUGCUGUGAAAAUCCGGGGCUCAACCCCGGACUUGCAGUGGGUACGGGCAGACUAGAGUGUGGUAGGGGAGACUGGAAUUCCUGGUGUAGCGGUGUAAUGCGCAGAUAUCAGGAGGAACACCGAUGGCGAAGGCAGGUCUCUGGGCCACUACUGACGCUGAGAAGCGAAAGCAUGGGGAGCGAACAGGAUUAGAUA
rnacentral:rRNA from 1 species